rnacentral:lncRNA from 1 species
GGGUCCCGGGCUGCGCGUGCGCGGUGCGAGUCGGCGGUGCCACUUUUGUAGUUGGCAGGCGUUGCGUUGCGUCGCUGUAGCUGUGUUCCGUAGGGAGAUCCAGAUGAAGAACUCUCAGUCACCUCUCCAGCACCGUAUCUGCCUGCAUGCCACUAUGCUUCUUGCCAUGAUGAUAAUGGACUAAACCUCUGCACUAUAAGCCAACACCAAUUGAAUGUUUUCCUUUGCUUCCAGCAGAAGGUGUGGCCCAGACUAAUGGUGUGCCUUCCAGCCUCAAGGUCUGCAUUAAAGGCAUGUAUGUGUCUUCCCGCCUCAAGAUCCGGAUCACAGUUCCUCAUGUUGUGGUGACCGCCAACCAUAAAAUUAUUUUGUUGCAAGGCUGGAGAGAUGGCUCGGCAGUUAAGAGCACUGACUGUUCUUCCAGAGGUCCGGAGUUCAAUUCCCAGCAACCACAUGGUGGCUAACAACCACCUUGAAUGAGAUUUGGUGCCUUCUGCUGGCAUGCAGGCAGCAGAAGACUGUAUACAUAAUAAAUAAAAUCUUUUUUAAAAAACUAUUUUGCGGCUACUUCAUAGCUGUAAUUGUUUUUGUUUGUUUUUCGAGACAGGGUUUCUCUAUGUAGCUUUGGAGGCUGUCCUGGAACUCACUCUGGAGACCAGGCUGGCCUCGAACUCCCAGAGAUCCGCCUGCCUCUACCUCCCGAGUUCUGGAA